UACAGAGGGUGCGAGCGUUAAUCGGAAUUACUGGGCGUAAAGCGUGCGUAGACGGUUAUUUAAGUCGGAUGUGAAAGCCCCGGGCUCAACCUGGGAAUUGCAUUCGAGACUGAAUAGCUAGGGUGCGGUAGGAGGGAAGCGGAAUUUCCGGUGUAGCGGUGAAAUGCGUAGAUAUCGGAAGGAACAUCAGUGGCGAAAGCGGACUUCCUGGAC
rnacentral:rRNA from 1 species